AGUGAACGCUGGCGGUAGGCCUAACACAUGCAAGUCGAACGGCAGCACAGUAAGAGCUUGCUCUUACGGGUGGCGAGUGGCGGACGGGUGAGGAAUACAUCGGAAUCUACUUUUUCGUGGGGGAUAACGUAGGGAAACUUACGCUAAUACCGCAUCCGACCUACGGUUGAAAGCAGGGGAUCUUCGGACCUUGCGCGAUUGAAUGAGCCGAUGUCGGAUUAGCUAGUUGGCGGGGUAAUGGCCCACCAAGGCGACGAUCCGUAGCUGGUCUGAGAGGAUGAUAAGCCACACUGGAACUGAGACACGGUCCAGACUCCUACGGGAGGCAGCAGUGGGGAAUAUUGGACAAUAGGCGCAAGCCUGAUCCAGCCAGACCGCGUGGGUGAAGAAGGCCUUCGGGUUGUAAAGCCCUUUUGUUGGGAAAGAAAAGCAGCAGGUUAAUACCCCGCUGUUCUGACGGUACCCAAAGAAUAAGCACCGGCUAACUUCGUG
rnacentral:rRNA from 1 species